rnacentral:misc_RNA from 1 species
UCACAAUAAAUUGAAAUUGGGGCGGUGCUGGAGAAGAAGAAGAAGAAAGCUUGAGAAUCAUGGCGGAGCAUUUGGCUUCUAUAUUCGGUACAGAGAAAGACAGGGUGAAUUGCCCUUUCUACUUUAAGAUCGGAGCGUGUCGGCAUGGUGACCGCUGUUCCAGGCUUCACACAAAGCCUAGCAUCAGUCCCACGUUGGUUCUCUCUAACAUGUACCAGCGUCCUGAUAUGAUCACCCCUGGUGUUGACCCUCAAGGCCAGCCCCUUGACCCUCGCCAGAUCCAGCGUCA